UGGGGAUUUGCAUAGUGGUAGUGCGGUAGACUCUGACUCUACUUGUGGGAGUUCGAUUCUCUCAUCCCCAACCA
rnacentral:tRNA from 53 species